rnacentral:sRNA from 1 species
ACUGGGUGUGGUGGUGCACACCUGUAAUCCCAGAGACUUGGGAGGCUGAGGCAGGAGGAUCGCCAAGUUCCAGGCCAGCCUGGGCAACGUAGGGAAACCCUGUUUCCA